rnacentral:rRNA from 1 species
GAUGAACGCUAGCUACAGGCUUAACACAUGCAAGUCGCGGGGCAGCAUGGGGGUUGCUUGCAAUCCCCGAUGGCGACCGGCGCACGGGUGAGUAACGCGUAUCCAACCUGCCCUUCACCACGGGAUAACCCGGCGAAAGUCGGACUAAUACCGUAUGUUGUCCAUUGACGGCAUCCGAUUUGGACGAAAGGUUUGGCGGUGAAGGAUGGGGAUGCGUCCGAUUAGCUGGACGGCGGGGUGACGGCCCACCGUGGCGACGAUCGGUAGGGGUUCUGAGAGGAAGGUCCCCCACACUGGAACUGAGACACGGUCCAGACUCCUACGGGAGGCAGCAGUGAGGAAUAUUGGUCAAUGGGCGUAAGCCUGAACCAGCCAAGUAGCGUGCAGGAUGACGGCCCUAUGGGUCGUAAACUGCUUUUAUGCGGGGAUAAAGUGGCCCACGUGUGGGUUUUUGCAGGUACCGCAUGAAUAAGAACCGGCUAAUUCCGUG